GAGGGCAAUCUAGCCACAGCAUCUGUCACCCCACUGAUUACCAGGUUGAUUCAAUUGAGCUGGCUGGCUAGGUAGGUGUCUCCUUUUUCCCUC
ensembl:misc_RNA 7SK 7SK RNA